UGUCCUGGGUCUGAGGAAAGGGGUCCAGUGAGCGUAUUAAGAGCUGCAUUGGUCAGGUGACUCCACUCUGUGACAUAUCUAUUUGUUCUUGCCCCUGGCAAGGCAGCAGGUGGCUAUUUGGAAGAGUGGCACAGGCCAUGGUUUCAAUCUCCUCUGCUCUUUUUCAGCAUUUCGUUUUCCUGAACCCACGUCUUCCUCCUACCCUGACUUUCUUGCUUCUCUCUAAGCUACUUCUGUCUUUCUUCCCCUGCCCUUGUUUUUCUCUUGUCACCUCCUGUAGAUUCAGGACAUUCUGAAAGGGCUGGUGUCCAACCUUAACCAUUCCAGUGGCGUAGUGCUCCCCAAUGCACCAGUGGAAGGUGAGGCAGUGCCCAGACCUCUCUCUGGCUUGCUGUCUCCAGCCGUGCAUGUUUCUGAGACUUCUCUGGUUUGGGGGAUACUUUGCCUCUGGCUUAUUUUAUGUUGCUGCCAUUAACCUUCAGCCUGUUUAUGUCUGCCUCUUCACCUGCUUGAUUGAUUGGGAUUUUUCCUUCCCAGCAUCUUUUAUCAUCUUGGAAAUUAACCUUCAGCCUGUUUAUGUCUGCCUCUUCACCUGCUUGAUUGAUUGGGAUUUUUCCUUCCCAGCAUCUUUUAUCAUCUUGGAAAUGAGCCAGUACCAAGAACUGGAAGUAGCCCUGGACUCAAGCUCUGCAACAAUCAAUCAACUCAAUGAAAACAUAGAAUCAUUUAAACAACAGAAGAAACAAGUGGAACAUCAGCUGGAAGAAUGCUUGCUUGGCUUUUCUCCCAAAGGUUCAAUUCCAGACAAUCAACAUCCUCGUGUUGGAAAAGGCAGACUUGAAGACCACAGUUUACCAUACUAA
rnacentral:lncRNA from 1 species